GGCAAGGUGGCCGAGUGGUCUAAGGCGCACGGUUCAGGUUUACCUGAUCCUUCAGAAGUUAUACAACUCUCCGUGUCAUGUAAAUGGCGUGGGUUCGAAUCCCACCCUUGUCA